CGUGUCCCUGCCUGUGGGAGAGUCCUGGCAUCAUGAAAGGAGAGAGGCUGAGCUUGUACCAAACACUUGCCUGCUUGGACCCACGUGCCACGAUCCCAUGCUCGGCAAGCGUGAGCCCACAAAGCUGCCAGACAGGAAUCAUUUCCAGCAGGAGCACAGAUGCCACGUCCACAGGACCUGCUCACUCUCUGUCUCGGACGGAGCGGAGAUGGUGUCUCGGCCUCUGCACCCUCCUGACAGGUUUAACUUCCCCCUUGGAUUAAAGAAAGACCAGGAAGAAGCAAAGGCUGCAGAGAAACCCUGGAGAAGCUCUUGAGGAUGAAGCCUGUGCCAGGCAGGCCUGCAGGACCGUAAGGAUGCGUAGGAAAAUGUUGACGUGAGUGAGGGCCCAGCCCACACCAGUCCUCAUGUUUGAGGCCAGCCCACACCAGUCCUCAUGUUUGAGGCCAGCUUUUCCACCGCUGGAAGGACGCCUGGCUGAUGCUGUCACUGGCUUUGCUCCAGCACCCACCAUAGAGACACCCACCUCCCAGAUGGGACGGACUGUUUAAGUCACUACAAGGAUUUCAGACCUGCAACCGAAGACACGUGAAACCCAUGUCCUGUGCCAGUAGAAGUGAUUCUGCCUCCUUCAGAAUAAAAAAGAACAACGGAAGCAUCGUGUGUCCCUAACAUACCUGCGUCCAUGAUAUCACU
rnacentral:lncRNA from 9 species